rnacentral:pre_miRNA from 1 species
GUGACAGAAGAGAGUGAGCACAUGGGGUGCUUUUCUUGCAUGCUUUUCAUGCUUGAAGCUCUGCGUGCUCACUCUCUAUCUGUCAU